rnacentral:rRNA from 1 species
UACGUAGGGAGCAAGCGUUGUCCGGAAUCAUUGGGCGUAAAGCGCGCGUAGGCGGCCCUGUAAGUCCGUUGUGAAAGUCAAAGGCUCAACCUUUGAAAGCCGAUGGAUACUGCAGGGCUAGAGUUCGGAAGAGGCGAGUGGAAUUCCUGGUGUAGCGGUGAAAUGCGCAGAUAUCAGGAGGAACACCGACGGCGAAGGCAGCACUCUGGGACGUGACUGACGCUGAGACGCGAAAGCGUGGGGAGCAAACAGG